UGGAGUGUGACAAUGGUGUUUGUGUCCUCUGCUGUCAAACGCCAUUAUUACACUAUAUA
ensembl:miRNA mir122 microRNA 122